AGAUGGGUCUCCGACGAUUUCACCCGUGGUUCCAAGUAUUUCAACCACAUCUCUUCCUGGAUAUACAAUGCCCGUUUUGUCUACAGAGUGUGAACCGGGAUAUUUAGGAAACAAAUGCGAAUCUCCAUGCAGAUAUCCGAGUUACGGCAUCGAUUGUCAGAUGAAAUGUGAAUGUAGUGGCCCUGAGAAAUGUGAUCAUGUUAAAGGAUGUGUAGAUUUACGUCCAUUUUGUAGUACCACAAAACAUCCAGGAAAUGUAGACGCAAUACUGUACAGUACCAUUGUCCUCAGCAGUAUAGCUGUCUUACAUUUUAAUGUUUGUAUUUAUCUCUCUUAUUGCUAUAAAACCUAA